UAGAAUUAAGCUCUUUUAGUAUUUGUCUAGUAGGUUUCCUUUAAAAGGAGACCCCU
ensembl:snRNA U7 U7 small nuclear RNA